rnacentral:lncRNA from 1 species
CAACCGGGCCCGGCCCGGCCCGGCCCGGCCCCAGCCCCAGCCCCAGCCCCAGCCCCGGGCAGGCGGCGUGGAAAUGAGAUGCACAUUUACCCUUGACGCAGGGCAGGCCCGGCAGCGCCUCCCAGGGAGCCACGAGCCCAGGCCGAGGGGGCCCCGUCUCUGCACCGGACCCGGGCAGGCCGGCACGAGCCGGCCGAGGCGCCGCCGAGCUGCAGGGCGAGACGGGCAGGUAGCACAAGUCCCGCGAGCAGCCUGGGAGCGGGGCAGCCGCGGCCUUGGAAGUGAUCCUGGGUGUCGCCCGCCCUCGCCAGCGUGUCAGCAGGGCUCCCUGCUCCGGCCCGUCGCUCGGCGCUGCUCGGGACACCGCAGCGCCAGGCCCUGCCCUUCCCAGCCUGGGCUGCGCGGGAGCCUCUGCCCGACACCGCAGCAGAGCGGGCACCGGGCAAGCGGGACAGGCCCCGGCCCCAGCGCCGGGACGGGCGGGGGCGGGGGCCGGGCUGGACCAGGCCUGCUGGUGCGCCGAGCCACGCGGCCGUGCAGAGCCUUGCCUUCCAAUAAACGGGUGUGAUUCACUCCAAAUGUGGACGCGUUUUAUUCCCUAAUCCCAUCGAUAUUAUUGCCCACAGAUGAGCGCAGACAAAAUUCAAACGUGUGUUUCGUAUUAAGGAAAACAGACUCCAGUUCUGACCUCACCAAUCCCUCUCUCUCUCUCUCUCUCUCUCUCUCUUUUGUCCCGAAAGCACAGGGACAAGAUCCCCAUUUGGGCGACAAAGAGAAUCAUUUCCAAAUGAGCUCCUUACCUUCUGUCACCCUUGGUCUCGCUAAACCUCAGGUUCACAUGCCAAGAGCCUGGGGAUCGAUCCCAAGGAUACACGAGGCUUUUUGCUUGGGGGCUGUUCAGAGCUUCGAGCACUUUCAGUUUUAGUUUAAAAACCAAACUCGCAGACAGCACAAUGAGCCCUCUUCCACAACAGGCCCAACCCAACGGCCUUACAUCUGGUUUUUAUUUCGCAGCCUAGGCAGGGGAUGUUGAUCAGUGUAUUUGUCAAGAUUUAAAUGUAAGGCAACGAGAAGAAGC